rnacentral:rRNA from 1 species
GCACCCGCGGUAAUUCCAGCUCCAAUAGCGUAUAUUAAAGUUGUUGCAGUUAAAAAGCUCGUAGUUGGAUUUCUGGGAGGGUGCCGAUGUCCACUUAACGUGUGCGCAGCGGCGCCCUCUCAUCCUUCUGUUAGCGUCUCUUGGCAUUCAUUUGCUGGUGGCGGGCUCAGAUAUUUUACCUUGAGAAAAUUAGAGUGUUUCAGGCAGGCUAGGCCGGAAUACAUUAGCAUGGAAUAAUGGAAUAGGACUACGGUCUCUUUGUUGGUUUGAGGGACUGCAGUAAUGAUUAAUAGGGAUAGUUGGGGGCAUUAGUACUUAACUGUCAGAGGUGGAAUUCUCAGAUUUGUUAAAGACUGACUUAUGCGAAAGCAUUUGCCAAGGAUGUUUUCAUCGAUCAAGAACGAAAGU